rnacentral:rRNA from 1 species
AACUUAAUAACUUUUCUAGCUUCUGAAGGCGCCGCGGCCCCUGCCGUAAAACCCCCCAACUCUUUAGUGGUUGACCUCGGAUCAGGUAGGAAUACCCGCUGAACUUAAGCAUAUCAAUAAGCGGAGGAAAAGAAACCAACAGGGAUUGCCUUAGUAACGGCGAGUGAAGCGGCAACAGCUCAAAUUUGAAAGCUGGCCUUCGGGUCCGCGUUGUAAUUUGUAGAGGAUGCUUUUGGUUAGGUGCCUUACGAGUUCCCUGGAACGGGACGCCUUAGAGGGUGAGAGCCCCGUACGUUUGGUUACCGAGCCUCUGUAAAGCUCCUUCGACGAGUCGAGUAGUUUGGGAAUGCUGCUCUAAAUGGGAGGUAAAUUUCUUCUAAAGCUAAAUACCGGCCAGAGACCGAUAGCGCACAAGUAGAGUGAUCGAAAGAUGAAAAGCACUUUGAAAAGAGGGUUAAAUAGCACGUGAAAUUGUUGAAAGGGAAGCGUUUAUGACCAGACUUUUUCCUGGCGGAUCAUCCGGUGUUCUCACCGGUGCACUUCGCCAGGUUUAGGCCAGCAUCGGUUUUCGCCGGGGGAUAAAAGCAGUGGUAAUGUGG